UGCAUUCGGAGAGGGUUCUUGAGUCUGGGCCGAAGUAAAAAUUAGCAUUGCCAUUGGCUUCGCAUAACAAUGGGUCUGUCGCCGUCUGACGUAUGUGGUUGCCAUGUGGAGCAUGCAACUGCAGGCGUUCUGAUGGAGACAGAGACGGUGGCAGAGAAACUCAAGUUGGGGCAAUGCAGAUGGCGGAGAAUCAUCACCAGAUGUGUUUCAAGAAUCCCAAGAGAAGUUCAACAAUUUGGAAAAAAACAACUCCCAGACAGUUCAAUGCCUGACUCCGACCUUAGAUGGCGCCAUGCGACGCCGCGGGAUCUGAUCCAAGAAAUCUCUUAUCUAAUUGCGACGUUACUCAACUACGCAGAUAGUGAAAAGUAAUCUUUAUUAUGCAACCCUUUCAGUUGAAGUCAUAGUACUAUUAUGUGAUUACAACAGUUUUUUGUUGUUUUGUUUUUGUUGUCAUUUUCUUUUUUGUACAAUUUCAAAGCGAAAUAAACUAUUCCUCAUAUUUAAUAAUAAUAUUAA
rnacentral:sRNA from 1 species